UCUGGAGGGGAGACGCUUCGACCGAUCGACGCGACGUGGCAAUCGCGCGCGCAUCGCGCACGGUGGCUCAUGGGAGUCAUGGGGGCUCACGCGAAGUUGGCUAUCCUUUCCGUCGGCAUGUCGGCGCUCGAUUGUCCGCACGUAGCCCCCGUCCAAGGCGUUCCGGCGCUUCUCCAAUCCCGGAUGCCCGAGCUCCCUCAUUGGAUGAGAUUCGGGGUCGCAUCCCUUCAGGACCGAAGGUAAAACCUCUCCAACUGAAGUGCCCUCUUAAACAAAUCCCUCAGCUGAUAUCUUUGGCGUCUCUACGUCGUGCGCAGGUACCUGCGUAGAUCUUAGAUCGAUAGAUCUGAGCAGAAAUCGUUCCGAGAAUCGCAAAGGCCAAGGCAACGGCAGGCAGGAAAGCAGAUAUUUUUUGAGGUAGAAACAACGGGAAGAAGCCAACACCUAAAUCGUCGCCAAUUUUCAAUCAAAUAAACGAACCGCAGCCGGUUCGUCGCGUCGCGCGUUUAUUCCGGGAGUGUCGUUUAAGUUAUCGGACUACUAGACUUUUCAUAACUCCCAUUCGAUAGAAUCCUAAUUCGAGGACCGGAAAUCGCACCCCCGCUGCUUGGCAGUGGUACAUGUCCUCACUGGGCCGUUGCGCAUGAUGGCUACGGCGCACCGCGACGUCUCAUUCCGAGUGCCCGUGCACGAGGAAAUGCCGGGCCGCGUUAUGGCAUGCCCCGGGUGCAAUUUUAAACGUGAUUCUUGCGAGAUAAGAGGCGUCAGAUUCAAUGCCAUUGAUUUCGUUUUCUUCCGCGUGGGGCUUAACCCUUGUUCGGGGGUGGAUACGCGUGUGUCCUACUCGUCGACUCGGGGUGCUGAAUCCACGGGCCUCCCUCCGAAUCGGAAGUCUUAUCGUGGGUUUUAUAAAUCCGAAGUGCCGUAGUGUGCGAAAGACUCUCAUAGAUAUAUUUAAUUAAUUCACGCGCGCAAUUUCAGUGCAUUUUACGCGAGUGUUUAUCGCGAGUGCAACAAGAGGAGAAAACUCGACAACCUGAAGCUGAGAGGAGGAGGAGGCCUGGGAGAGGCAUCGGGCUUCAGCGGAGCAACCUUGGGUAAUCACCGUAGCUUCGUGGCUGAUUAACUCCGCUCGUUGCGCAUCGGGUCGGUGAGUCAAUUUAUGAUAUUUCAAUGCUUUGUUCAAAGAUGUUUUGACUACGCGACGCCCCAAUUAAAAGUUAUUGUAAUUUAAAACUUAUGCAAACUUCUUUUUUAUCCAAUGAUAAAAAAUGUUGAAAAUGUGAAUACUCGAAUUUUAGUCUUGGAACUAACUGUAAAAAAACAAAACGAAUAAUUUGACAGCAAUGCAGGAAAAAUAACCUUAUUUUGUCGCAGUGUUAGGUAAAUAACUUUUCUAAACGAAUAGGUGAAUUGAAAGAAACUUUUGCACGAAUAUUUAUUAGAGUUUUAUUAAUAUACGUAAAAAAUUUUAUUCAAUUUAUAAUGAUACUGUCUCAGUAAAUCUGUAAAUAGGUAUUACAAACCGUGAUUUUACAUAAAAAUGAAGAGUGAACCAAAAAUAUAAUUGUUAAACCAACAAGAGAGUUGCGCUCAAAUUUUACACAGAUAUUCAAAUGUAACAAUAGAACAAUCUAUUUAAAUUUUUAUUUUUCAUUUUUAAUAGUGCAUUGUAACGUGAGAUAUGCAUCCUUAACAUUAAAAAAAAUUUUUUUUUGAAAUGUAGCUUAAAUUUAAUAAAGUGCUACGUUGUUUCAUAUCGCUCCCAUUACAAUUGGAGCACUUUGAAGGCCUUUCGAUGUGUAACUCAUGAGCAACGUCGAAGUCCAAAGAACUCGUAUCGCACCAAGUUUCCCAAGUAGAUCCGUGGCCAGUGAGAUAUAUUGGGUGUGUGAGCGAUAAAGGAGGCCUGUGUACACCGGGACCUCGCAUGUGUGGGCCCGCCGUCCGUGCCCCCGAACGAUAAUUUCUUAUCGUAUCCGGCUCCCCUUACGCGCACGUUGUCAGUUACUGGAACUUAAUAUGGUACGCUUCGUAUGAAUCGGUCCGAACGACUUCAACGUAUCGUCAUGUUUUCGUAGAGUUUGCUACCGUUUACGUGACACCGUGAUCAAAGGCGUUUGUAAGUCGGAAGAGCAUGAGAGUCGCUGAUGUAGCCGUGCAAUACUCUGAAUUGCUUUAGAAUAGAUAAUACCUGCAAAUAUUUAUAUCCUUCACUCUAUUAUAUAUUUAUAUAAGAAUGUAUAAUAAAUAGAGCAAGUAAAAAUAUAUUAAAUAAAAAUAUAAUAUUAUACACACAAAUUUCAUAUGUAUAUAGUUUAUUUGAAGUGUUAAUGUUGUUAAACACAUUUCCAAUUUUAUUUACUUUGUAGGGAUCGUAUGUCUAAUACAUCCUUAAUUAAUAUUACAGCAGUGAAGAUAUUUAUUGUGUGUGCAACGUAUUUAUAAAAUAAUUACAUGAAUUAUUUAUAUUGACAUGAUAAAAAUAUAUUUAUUUUUGAUGUAUUUUUUUUAGAAAAAGUAUAUCAACAAACUGAUAAUUAUAUCAGUAACAGAGAUGAUAUUUCAUCAGUUACUGAUACAGCUAAUCAGUUUAUUAAAACACUUUUUCUUGAGGCUCGAUUUAUUUUAUACAAUUUUAUUUUAGAACAAUAUUUUUUUUAUAAAAAGUUCUUUCUGCUAUCUCUCAUAAAUCAUUGAUUGUGAUUUUUAUUCUUUCUUUGCCCGCAGUAAUUUCUUUUGAGACACUGAGAAAAGAUGAAUAAUUUUUAAGUUCUUUAUGCUUUAUUAAUGAAGAAUUUGUAUUGUAACUUUUAUAUUCUGUAGAAUUAUUUCAAAAUGUGUGGUAACCACAAUAGCACUCAAUAAAAUUUUUAAAUAUAAAUUAUCGGAAUUGUUUCAAAUUCAUCUUUGUUAUGAAUAAUAAAAAAUUUUCUUUUCUUCGAUGUCUCUCUUUCGUGAUAUACAGCUUUUUUUCUUUAUAUCAUCUAUUUCUAUUUCCUCUUUUUUUUUUAAUUUCUCUGUCGUAAAUUGCUUGGUUUUUUUGUUAAAAAUAAGUUCUUUUCUAAAUUAAACAAUGAGUUAAAAAAUAUUUUUAGCGUUUAGUAAGGAAUUUAAUUAAUAUUUCUUUGAUAACGAAAAGUUUUCGGAACAAAUUUUUUUCAUAAGAAAAAAGGAAGAUGGCAAAAAGAUAAGAACGGAACCACAAAUGAGAUAACAGGAUUGCUCGAAUAUUUGAACGAAAGUAAUUCUACGUUAUUGCUAUGAGUUACUUGUUAAACGACUAAACCGACGGACAAUGGUGCACGAGCUGCAUCUCAAACAAUAGCAUCCCGUAAUCAAGCGAUGAAUUAUCGCAAAUCAGUUGACUUUUUAACGCACCGCCGUAUGUCAAAGAUCGCCAGUAACGCGAUUAGGGGUAUGAGAUAUGGACCGGCGUAUCGGGGCGCGAGAAUGCAAGGCAGGAGCAACGUCUUCGACGACCACGCCUUCGAUCGGCACAACGGAGCGCCAACAAUAAAGCCGAGGACUAGAAGUAAAAAUCGCGGCGACCUAUGCGUCGCCUCGUAACGCCUCGUUCCCAUUCCCGCUCUCGCCUCGUCGCGCCGCGCCGCGAAACUCAUUAAAACCCGUCGAGAUACCCCGGCCGCGUUUAUGCAGGCACGUAACGACGAACGAGAACAACGUCGGCGUAUGCAUUUACGAGCGGCACCGUCUUUAUGCACCGGCGGCGCGGCGCGGCGCGGCGCGAUGCAUCGGAGCUGGCGACACUGAGCGCAGCACCGUACGGCAAAAAGUCGCGCUCGUAAUCGUGUGAAUAUCGCGUCUUAGGAUCUCCUAUCGUCGGAACAUCGCAUUUCCGGCUUCAACGCGGAACGUGGAGAACGACACCCGUUUUCUCGUCUUUGAACAAUCUUUGAAACGCAACAAACCGGAUUAUCUGUGACGCGUCUUCAGAUAUACAUGCCGUGGGAGAAAAAAAAUUAUUACGUUUCAAUAAAUAUUGGUUUGAAUAGCUGCAAUGAAAUAUUCAUUUAAUAAAAAAAUGAUAGUUAAAUUGAAUUAGUGGCGUUCGUACUAAAUAAAUAUUUAUUUACAUUUAAUAAAUAUUCCAUUGCAAUUACUCAAACGGUUUAAUUUAUUAAAAUUUAGUAAUAUUUUCUCUCAAUGUAGGACGAUACGCCAAGAUAUGCAAACUCAGAAUUGCUUUCUUUCCUUUAAAGCGUCACUAAUUAAAGCACUGCCUUGAGAAAGAGGAUAAUUUCUAUAAUUCUAAAAUAAAUUCUUUAUUAAAAUGUAAAGAGUAGUAAGAGAGACAGAAAGAAAAAAAAAGAAAGAAGAGAGAUCUUAUAAGAUCUUCUAUAAUUUUAUAUGCAAUUAUAAUUUUAAGAUGCAAUAAAGCCCCUUUUAAUUCAUGCGUAAACUUGACGGAAAUAUGUAGUAUCAUCCUCGCUGGCCCGCGCGCGCAAUCGAGGCACGUAAUGAGAAGCGGUAUGAAGUAUCUCUUACGCGAUCUAUCCUUCCACCUAUUUUUUUUCCCACAUAACAACGAGGCGCUACGGCUCGUGUCCUGUUCACCCAUUUUCGAAGGACCUUAACCAACCAUGACCGAAGCGGCUCGCGUGGGGCUUAUUUUAAUGCCACAGUGUUCCACACACGGCCCGUGUACAUAUGUGUGCGUUGCACGUUGUUUUCCUUAUAUACACGGUGUACCUUGAUUACCAUGCUGCCCAUACAUGGCACUACAAUUUCGAUGCGCGCGGAUUGUUGAGAAAUUGCGCGCUCCGAAAGAAGCCGAUUUAUUAUUAGAUUAUUAGACGCGCCUAAUAUGGCGCCGCGGCAGGAUUUAUCAACAAUCCGUUUAUUUUAUUCAAUUUUUCCUCUCUGUCGUCGUCCAAUUCCCCGCGUAGCAACAAAUGCGAUUCCCGGCUUCCGUUGGAUUAUGAUUUGUUUAAAGUAAUUCUUCCCGAAAAUUUUGGUCAGGGAGAUCUAACGUCAGGUAUAUGCAAUUACGGAUGUAUGGGUCAUAACAUUACCAAAAAAUAUAAAUUUCAUAGAAUGUUGUAAUUUAUUACGUUUGAAUAUCCGUGUAAAAUUUGAGCACAGUUCACUUACUGGUUUAAAAGUAUAAUUUUAAUUUGUAUAUGUAAAAUUGCGUUGUGCGUUGCAAAUUUUAUGCGAAAAUAGCAUUAUCAAUUAAAUUAAAAUUUUUAUUAUGUAAUAAAAGUCUAAUAAAUAUUCGUACAAAAAUUUAUUUAGAUCCAUUUAAUCGUUUAAAAGUAAUUUUUGUAUAAAAUUGCAGCUAAAUAUAAGCAGCAAAAACCAUUUUAAAUCAAAUUCUUCAUUUCUUCUUUGCAGCUACUUUCAAGUCCUAAAUUCGAGCAUUUGAGACUAAAAUUUUUUGUUGAUUAGUAGAAAGAAAAGAAUAAACGUAGAGAAGCCUUCAAUUUUUAAAUUUCGAUAACUUUAGCUCGUACAGCUAAAACAUCCUUGAGAAUUUUGGAAAAAAAAGAAUUCUUAAAUUUGAUCGAUUGAUAGACGACAGCUUUAUAUAUUUUGAAAAUUCGUGGUUUUGUGUAAAGAUACGACCUCACACAUGCAAAUGAUAAUGCAUUAGAUUAGAUUAAAGUAUGUCAGUUUAUCUUUCUCUCUCUCUUUUCCAUCCAAAAGGUUAUCGUACAGUCAAGGGUGUAGUCGAGAGAUAAACAAGUGUCGAGAUUGUAUCGGUCUCUAUCGAUCCCAAUUCUUGAAAACAUAUCGUCUAAAAAAAUACAAAAAAAAAGAAAAUAAAAAAAUAGAAAAGGAAACAAAUUUGUUACAAAUAUUCUCAGAAUAUUGCGUCGCGUUGCUUAAUCGUAGCACAGUUUACGUGCUUUGAUGCUCGAUGUCGAAGCUUUGUAUCGCACAGCAAUCGAUUAGGCGCUCCGUAUCUGGCAUCGCGGCUAAAUAUACGGAUUUACGGAUGUUGAGCACCGAACGCCGGAAAUCCUUGAGUGACGUUGACGCGCGCAUCUAGAUGGCUGCACCAAAUAAAUGCAUAACUGCAUCGUUACGUGAUGAAAACGGUGUCCCCUGCGAAUUAAUAGCCGGCAGGACGACAUGACUGACAAGCCGGCGAAUUAAAUCACGUAAACUACAACGACGGCCGAUCGCGAAGCGCCGUGCGCAGAAUUUUGCGAUGGACUGUGUUGUGCUGCGGUGGCAUAAGGCUCGCUCGCGACCUUGGAAACUGAUGCAUUAUUCGAGAUGAGAAAUUGCGAAGGCGGGCACCGCUGAAGUUAUGAUGAAUGAGAAACGUCGGGUUCCCCCCGCGUCGAAUAAUUCCCUUGAUAAAAAUAACGGGUGUAUUAUUUCGUCCCGCGAGCUCAAUUUCAACCCUAUUCAUGCAACUUAAAAAUAAUGGCCGUAUUGUUUAAAGACACAAAUUGAUUUCACGCUUUAACAUUCAAUAAAUUAUAAGAUGAGGGUGGGAUGUAUAACAGUAAAUCGCCGCGGGACAAUUUACUGUUACAAUAAUAAGUAUUGCUUCAAUUUAUCAAGUCUUCCUUGAAAAACUACUAUUUCUAGAUUUCUUACGUCUGUCUGUUAUCGUCACUUUAUUCAACGGCAAAUAUUACGUUUCUUAUCUAGUGAUCUCCCCCUUGAAACCUUGCUUGUGAAGUAUUAUGGUAUUAACAGUACUUUACUUUGCUUAAUUUCCACCGGACGAGUAUUAUUUAAUCACCUUGAUUCCACAAAUAUUCUGUAUUGUGAGACUUCAUCAUUGCCACUUCGCUUGUCUGUAGACGGGUCCGUGAGACUGAUAAGAUGUCACUUCCACGCUUUCUAUCGCGAUUAAAUACACAUCAGGUCGUAAUCUGUAAACGCGUAAGGUCAUCGUGAUAAAUGAACAUAAAAUUUUCCAUGGUUUUCCAAAAACACUUAUCACGAGGGUCCCAGAUAUACAGGUAUCGGUGUACUGCGACCGCUUAGUCAACAGACUUGCAUAGCGAUCACUCACCUGCAUACCACCAUUACGGUUACAUACAUGUACAGAAAAUAUAAUCACCUCAGUUAUACGUAUGUAUAAUGUACGAAUACGUGUAAGUUUGACCCGAAUAAAUAAAUAGUAUUAUAAUUUAUGUUAAUAAAUUGGAAAACGUUAACAUCAUUUUUCACGACUCCCGUUGAAUGAAUAAUGAAUGAAUAAAAUAGCUGAACAUACACACACGUAUACGCAUUUAUGAAAUUAAAAAAGUAACGAUAUGGAAGGUUUACUAUAAACUUAGAAAAUGUUUAUCUUUAAAAAUAGUAUUUAUAUCUUGCAUAGUCGUUAUAGUCUUUUAGAAUACUUGGUGCACUAAGAAAAAUUUAGUUGCCUUCAACAAAAGCUGUUUAGUUUGAAACAUUAUUUAACAGUAACUAAAUAGUCUUGUUUGAUACAUUUUAAUCAAAUUAGCUAUUUGUUACAACAAAACACUUUGCUUUUAGUAUAUUUUUAAUAAAUAUAACGAGCAUAAUAGUCACAACAACUUGAGAAUGUGCAGAAAAAAAGAUAAUGUGAGCUUUCAAACCAAACUAAAUCUCUUGUGCAUUCGUAUAAACUUUCUUCGACAUAUACCUGAAUAAUUUUCAAGUUUCCUUCCCUUUUUCUAUCCAUUGGAACUCUGGAAUUUAAUGUCAACCAUUGUCAUCAUCAUCUUUUACCUGCCGAGACGUUCAUUUAAGUGAACACAGGCCAACAGUGCGAGGGAAACGAUAAUAAUCUUGCCUUUCCUACUUUUUUUGCCAAGCGAAUUUCAAAUGCAACAACUUUCUCCUUCGGCAUCUUUCGAAUUUUGCGUUUGAAUUUCUCGAUCGUCGUUCAAUUGCUACCUAAUGACCAACUUCGCAUUCCAUCGAUAUUCGCUCGUAAAAAUUAAUAGAAUCUUUUAACAAUCGGUCGUGAACGAAUCGUGAAUGAAUCCUCGUAAAGCCUAAUGCAUAAAUUUUUGAUGAUACCGAUUGUUCGAUUCGUUCUUAGAAGCCAUUAAAAAUUUAAAAAGCAAAAACGUUGUACACUUGUUAAAUUACUUUAAUGUGCCAAUUGAAAUUGAAGAUAGCACACUACAAAUAAUUCUAUAUAAUAAUUUUGCUGUAAUAAUAAAAUAAUAUUUUAUAUGGUGAAACUGUAACUUAAAAAAUUGUUGCUGAUAUCAAAUGUGUGUGGAUUUCAUAUCGGGAUUAAUUCUAAUAAUUACAGCUGUACACAUUGCAUUCUGUAGCAGGUAUCUCACAGUUAAUAUGAAUUUCGUAUUUGUUACAUACGUUGCAAUGUAUAAAAAAAUAGUAUAUAGGGGGAAAUUCCAAUGAAAGGAAGAAGCAAGCAUCAUUAAAUUAUCACAUUUCUUGCAUUUAUCAACGAAUGCACGUGAAUGCAGAUGUGAAUGAUAAGAAAUUGACUUUAUCCUUCACGCUCGGCCGUGAAAACGUCGGAACGUGACUUUGCGUGUUCUCCAGUCGCGACACUUACCUUUCAGCAGGUGCAAAUAGAAAUGCGUUUAUUGCCGCAGCUGUUCGCGAAAUAGAAGAGGACUGAGAUGCACAACAACUUCAGGAGAAACUAAUGACGAUUUUCGUUCGCGAAUCGAUUUUAUUUGCAAGAUCAAAAGUGAGAGUCAAAAAACUACGUUUUCUUUCAUUUUAAAAUUACGUGAACGGUAUAUUGAAAUCGCUUUAAUUGCAUCAAUUUACAAAAAUUUCGCAAUAAAGUAAUAAAUUAUUGAUUAUUAAUUAAUUAUUAAAUCCCUAGUUAUCGUGUCACUUGAUAAUAAAAUAUAAUGCAAUAUUUUGUAUAUCAAUAAUACUGUCGCGUUACCAACAUUAUUCUACAUAAUUAAAAACGUAAACUAUAUUUAUAAUUGAAGAAAUCAAUUUUAAAUCGAGCAAGAGAGUCCGCGAUAAAAACGGAAGGUUAACGAUUUUGAGAUACCACAUAUAUUCAUGACCAUACACAUCAUCGAAUCCACCUGUAUUGAGAUCCUGGAUACGAUCUUGCACGGAUUCCGAAGCGCAAGGGUACGCCGCAGGCGUGGUUCGGUUCUAUAAUGGCUUCGGCAUCAUAGAAACCCUAGAACUUCUUACCAAAAUUUUACCGGUUUUUUUUUGCUUAAAAGCAGGGAUGUACCAAGCUUUUUGUAGUUUUCUCAAGUUUUCUUCCCCGAGGAUUACUCUUACGGAUUGUUAUUACAAAAAAUUUAUAGUUUUAUGGUACGAGCUCUUUGAAAUCUUUAACCAUUGUAUUCCAAAAUAUUUUUUUAUUCUGAUGGAACAAUAUCAGCUAUGAGGACAAUAGAUCACAAAGAAGAUUACGAAAUUAUGAAAUGCACUAUUUAAAGAACUUUUAUAACUUGUAAGUAGAAGUUUUUUGUGUGACUCAGGCGAAUCCAAGGUUGUGGCCACGGACAAAUAACAGAUAAUUUGCUGUUUUAAAUAUUAUAAUUUAAAUUUUUCUUAUGUAUGCAAACCGUUAAAGAUUUUUUUGUAGUAUCAUUCUUUUUUAUUUUUUUGUUAUUUUAAAUUAAUGUCAAUAACAUUUAUUAAAAGAAAAAUCGCUUUGCAAGAUAAGAUUUCAACAAAUGAAAAAAGUUAGAAAAAAAUUGAAUAUGGCAUUUACAUUAAUAUAAAUUAUUCUCAUUAUCAUAUUUCUACUUCUCUCAGCAUUAGUUUCCUUAUAUUGCGGUUGAUAAGCAAAAACGCAUGUAUAUUCAGUAAAUAAAGUGAUUAAUAACAUAGGUGUACAUUUGCAUUAUGCAAAUUGCUAUUUUUAUAGUUAUUAUAAUUUAGCUGCUUUUUUUCUUCUCGUGCUAUCAUUUAUCUUUUAUACAUGUUAUAUUUAUAACUUAUUAAUAAGUAAACUUUUACUUAUCAAUAAGUAAAAAUAUAUGGGAAUUAUAUAAAGGAUUUAUUAUUAUUAUUAUCGUCUAAUUAAAUGCAAAUUGGAGUUGUACAAUAUAACUUAAGUGAAACAAUGUCUUAGUAAUCGUGACAUUUAAAUGGUAUCCAUUCAUUCUUGCGGCAAAAAAAAAAGUAUUGGCUCUGUAGAGGUGCAAUAUUUCCGGAAAGUCCAUUCGUGGCUCGUCCGUGGAAAACGCUCAGCGGUCAUUACGUUGUUUUCCUAGUCGAUCGCCACUUCCAUCAAGAUUCGAAAUUACACGUUCUCUUCCGACGCCAAGGUUGCGCACCGUCGGAAACCGCACGUUUCGCGAGAAAAGCGCCGUGUCAGCUAAUGACAGGUAUCCUCGAUAACCGCGAAGAAGUCUUUAUAUAUCUCUUGGACCCCGGACAAACAUAUCGUCCACCCUUCCUGAUUGUUAAAGCAAAUGUUUUGUCUCUCGUUCGACCCCUGUGCCUCGUCAUCGUGCAUACGUUUGCACUGCAAAGUGAUAGCCACGCCAGUUUAACCGAAUCUCAUAUUACAGGUCGUAAUCGGGAUCAAAUGGUGCUCGAAGUUCAACGGUUUGCUCUUUCCAUGAAACAUGAUAUUUGGGUAGAUUUACAGGGACAAUUUUCGUUUUCUAAGAUUACGCCUAAUAUAUUUAGAAGGACGAGUAAAAAUACAAUUAACUUAUCGGGGUUUACACAAGAUAAUUAUUAUCAAAGAGCACAUACUGUUUUCCAAUCGUCUUGGAGGAAAGAAUAAAGAGAUGUAUAUAUUAUUUUUCGUAACAGAUAAUUUGAACACAUCAAUCUUCCGAGCAGUGUAUUUUUCUUCUAACUUUUUUGAGAAGUAUCAAGCAUGUAAUUGGGAAUUGCGUUUGAAUAUUGUUGAAAGUAAAUUGAGGGUUUUGUCGCGUAGCUGGGAACCAACUAUUAUUUUGCGAGAAAUGAAUCUUUGUAAAUUACGGUCGUAACUUCUCUUCCGGUAAAUUUAUGGUUACGUAAAGCAGUGCAAAUGUUAAACGUUCGCAAAGCAAAUACGUUCUAGCGAAGGAUUAGCGAUGGAAGACAUUGUUAAACGAGUCAACUUUUUGUUAAAUAAAUUUAACAAAUUUUCCACUUUUGAAUGCUGUUAGAUUUACAUGUGAAAAAUUAUUAUUUGAAACCAGUAAGAAAUACAGAAGGAAACGUAGGAGAAUUUUGACGGAUUUUUCAACACAAAAAGGUUAUCUUAUCUUUAAACUUUAUCUUUCCGCUUCUCGUAUUUCUUGACUUUAAAAUGUACCUUUAAUCCAGAGAACCACGAUUAUGCUCGAGGCACGGCUCGAAGGAAGAGUUGCUCCUUCACGAGGGAAAAGAACGGCCCUCUCGUCUUUUCGUUCCGCUGCUUUUUUUUGGCUACUCACUGCGUGCCCUGCACUUGCCGCUCGGCAUGGGGUCGUUAAAAAUGAAAAAAAUCACUACGCUCCCCUUCGUGUCCUCUCUAAUUUUAUUUGAGCGCCUUAACUUAUCCCAGUAUGUAUUUGUAUGAUUGCAUUACUCUAAAGUAACGUAAUAAAAUAAGAAUUAUUUAUAGUACAUAUAACUGUAUUUAACUGUAAGUUAAAUGUAUCACACACAUUUAACAUGUAUUAAAUUAAUUACAUAAAAUAGGCUGUGAAUAAUAUAUUU